AUUGAACGCUGGCGGCAGGCCUAACACAUGCAAGUCGAGCGGAUGAAGGGAGCUUGCUCCUGGAUUCAGCGGCGGACGGGUGAGUAAUGCCUAGGAAUCUGCCUGGUAGUGGGGGAUAACGUCCGGAAACGGGCGCUAAUACCGCAUACGUCCUGAGGGAGAAAGUGGGGGAUCUUCGGACCUCACGCUAUCAGAUGAGCCUAGGUCGGAUUAGCUAGUUGGUGGGGUAAGGGCCUACCAAGGCGACGAUCCGUAACUGGUCUGAGAGGAUGAUCAGUCACACUGGAACUGAGACACGGUCCAGACUCCUACGGGAGGCAGCAGUGGGGAAUAUUGGACAAUGGGCGAAAGCCUGAUCCAGCCAUGCCGCGUGUGUGAAGAAGGUCUUCGGAUUGUAAAGCACUUUAAGUUGGGAAGAAGGGCAGUAAGUUAAUACCUUGCUGUUUUGACGUUACCAACAGAAUAAGCACCGGCUAACUUCGUG
rnacentral:rRNA from 1 species